rnacentral:rRNA from 1 species
AGAGUUUGAUCAUGGCUCAGAUUGAACGCUGGCGGCGUGCCUAACACAUGCAAGUCGAGCGGUAACAGGUGUAGCAAUACAUGCUGACGAGCGACGAACGGGUGAGUAAUGCUUCGGAAUCUACCCUCUAGUGGGGAAUAACCAGCCGAAAGGUUGGCUAAUACCGCAUACGUCCUACGGGAGAAAGCAGGGGAUCGUAAGACCUUGCGCUGAUGGAUGAGCCGAAGUCGGAUUAGCUAGUUGGUGAGGUAACGGCUCACCAAGGCGACGAUCCGUAGCUGGUCUGAGAGGACGACCAGCCACACUGGGACUGAGACACGGCCCAGACUCCUACGGGAGGCAGCAGUGGGGAAUAUUGGACAAUGGGGGCAACCCUGAUCCAGCGACGCCGCGUGUGUGAAGAAGGCCUGCGGGUUGUAAAGCACUUUUAGUGGGGAUGAAAUGUGCAGGGUUAAUACCUCUGCAUUUUGACCUAACCCACAGAAAAAGCACCGGCUAACUCUGUGCCAGCAGCCGCGGUAAUACAGAGGGUGCAAGCGUUAAUCGGAAUUACUGGGCGUAAAGCGUGCGCAGACGGUUAUAUAAGUCGGGUGUGAAAGCCCCGGGCUCAACCUGGGAAUUGCAUUCGAGACUGUGUAGCUAGGGUACGGAAGAGGGAAGCGGAAUUUCAGGUGUAGCGGUGAAAUGCGUAGAUAUCUGAAGGAACACCAGUGGCGAAAGCGGCUUCCUGGUCCAGUACCGACGUUCAGGCACGAAAGCGUGGGGAGCAAACAGGAUUAGAUACCCUAGUAGUCC